CCCAGUGAACGGCGGCCGUAACUAUAACGGUCCUAAGGUAGCGAAAUUCCUUGUCAGGUAAGUUCUGACCCGCAUGAAAGGCGUAAUGAUUUGGGCACUGUCUCAACAGCCCGCCCGGCGAAAUUGUAGUACCGGUGAAGAUGCCGGUUACCCGCGACAAGACGGAAAGACCCCAUGGAGCUUUACUGUAGCCUAAUAUUGGGUUUCGAUGUUGCAUGCACAGGAUAGAUGGGACACUGGGAAACAAUCGCUUUGGCGGUUGCGGAGUGGCCGUUGGGAUACCAUCCUUGCGAUAUUGGAAUUCUAACCUGCGGCUCUGAAUCGAGUCGGGGGACAUUGUUAGGUGGGCAGUUUGACUGGGGCGGUCGCCUCCUAAAAAGUAACGGAGGCGUUCAAAGGUUCGCUCAGCUUGAACGGAAAUCAAGCAAAAGAGUGCAAACGCAGAAGCGAGCCUAACUGCGAGACUGACGGGUCGAGCAGUAACGAAAGUUGGAGUUAGUGAUCCGGUGGUAUGUGAGUGGAAAUGCCAUCGCUCAACGGAUAAAAGUUACCCUGGGGAUAACAGGCUGAUCUCCCCCAAGAGUCCACAUCGACGGGGAGGUUUGGCACCUCGAUGUCGGCUCAUCGCAUCCUGGGGCUGUAUUCGGUCCCAAGGGUUUGGCUGUUCGCCAAUUAAAGCGGUACGCGAGCUGGGUUCAGAACGUCGUGAGACAGUUCGGUCCCUAUCUGUCGUGGGCGCAGGAUAUUUGAUGGGAGCUGUCCCUAGUACGAGAGGACCGGGACGGACGUACCUCUGGCGCACCAGUUGUUCCGCCAGGAGCAUAGCUGGGCAACUACGUACGGAUCGGAUAAACGCUGAAAGCAUCUAAGCGUGAAGCCGACCCAAAGAUAAGAUAUCCCACUGAUUUGAUCAGGUAAGACCCCUUGAAGACUACAAGGUCGAUAGGCACGAUGUGUAAGUGGAGUGAUCCAUUCAGCAAGCGUGUACUAAUAGGUCGAGGGCUUGACCAC
rnacentral:rRNA from 1 species